UCCAAAGGAAGUGUUUUCUGGACUGCUAGUCUGCAUCCCUUCUAUUUUUAAAGAAAAUUAGAUUUCCUCUCCAGUGGUCACUGUGAGAGGGAGGUGGGCUACAAGGCUGGCUCCCUCAGGAACAUUUCUCUCACCUACGCAUCAAUCUCCUGGGCCCUCCUCACAUUGCCACAGAACCAGCCUGACCUGGCUCCCCUCAGAUCAAUCUCCCACCCGUCCUAUGGAAAUCAGAGACUCAAUCCGACCGUAUCUUCCAUCCUGUCAUGUCCUGUAUGUAAAGGCCGGCCUCACUUUCCAAGUCCUCCAGAUUCUGAUCCAGAACAAUGCUGGAAGAGAGAUGUCUAGCUAGGAUAUCGCCAAAGCUUUGUAUCAUUUCAAGGACACACAGUUACAUUCACGUUCUGGCCCAAAAAAGCAC